rnacentral:rRNA from 1 species
UGCAAGUCGCACGGACUGUUUCGGCAGUUAGUGGCGGACGGGUGAGUAACACGUAGGUGACCUACCCCAAAGUCUGGGACAACUAGGAGAAAUCUUAGCUAAUCCUGGAUGUGAACCUCAGCUGUGGCUGAUGUUUAAAGCUUCGGCGCUUUGGGAUGGGCCUGCGGCGCAUCAGGUAGUUGGUGGGGUAACGGCCCACCAAGCCGACGACGCGUAGCUGGUCUGAGAGGACGACCAGCCACAGGGGUACUGAGACACGGACCCCACUCCUACGGGAGGCAGCAGUUAGGAAUCUUCCGCAAUGGGCGAAAGCCUGACGGAGCGAUACCGCUUGAAGGACGAAGCCCUUCGGGGUGUAAACUUCUGAACUCGGGACGAUAAUGACGGUACCGAGGUAAUAGCACCGGCUAACUCCGUGCCAGCAGCCGCGGUAAUACGGAGGGUGCGAGCGUUACCCGGAUUUACUGGGUGUAAAGGGCGUGUAGGCGGUCUCUCAAGUCCGAUGCUAAAGACCGAAGCUCAACUUCGGGGGUGCGUUGGAUACUGUGAGGCUAGACGGUCGGAGAGGGUAGCGGAAUUUCCGGAGUAGCGGUGA